UACGUAGGGUGCAAGCGUUGUCCGGAAUUAUUGGGCGUAAAGAGCUCGUAGGCGGUCUGUCGCGUCUGCUGUGAAACCUAGGGCUUAACUCUGGGCGUGCAGUGGGUACGGGCAGGCUAGAGUGCGGUAGGGGAGACUGGAAUUCCUGGUGUAGCGGUGAAAUGCGCAGAUAUCAGGAGGAACACCGGUGGCGAAGGCGGGUCUCUGGGCCGUAACUGACGCUGGAGGAGCGAAAGCAUGGGGAGCGAACAGG
rnacentral:rRNA from 1 species